CUACAUCUACCUCUAGAUCUACAUCUACAUCUACUAGAGGUAGAUCUAGAGGUAGAUGUAGAUCUAGAGGUAGAUGUAGA
rnacentral:pre_miRNA from 1 species